rnacentral:rRNA from 1 species
AUCUGGGUGGCGAAAUUCAGAAUGGCUGGCGCGUGCUUUGUGCGUGUCCGGUCGUUUGCAAUUUUCGUCGCCGUGACAGACGUCGCGACCUGUUUGUCGUCGGUCCUUGCUCGGAGGAAUCGCGUUCGAGUUCGUUGCGGGCACGCUUCGGCGUGCUUCGCGGUGAAGGCGCGUAUCUCUGGCCGACGAUAGGCAGUAAGUAACGGUGUCCGAUGUGUUUCGUCUUGAACGUCGCAUCGGUGCCGGUCAGCGAUGAUUUCUUCGGGCCUCUUUCCGACCCGUCUUGAAACACGGACCAAGGAGUCUAACAUGCGCGCGAGUCGCGGGGUAUCGAGUGUAUCACGGUGCACUCGUUACGUCACGAAACCCGUAUGUUGAAGGCGUAAUGAAAGUGAACAGGGAAGAUGGUGUUCCGAGUACACGUUUCGUGAUCUAGUGUCGCGGCCGGACACCCGCACUCCCGGGGCGUCUCGAUGGCUCGUCGUGAAUGCGGACCGUCGUCUUUCGGGGCGGCUGUCGGUUCGCGACGGACUGA